AAUGUGUGAGGAAAAAAUAUCCAAAAGAUGUAUAUACAUACACGUGCAAAAUACGUAGGGCGAGCCGACAAGGCUAUUAUAGACAACUAUAUAUCCAAAACCGGAAGCCGACAAGGCCACAUAUUACCCAACUAUACAUGACUAUCUACAAACCUUUAACAGAAUAUACAACUGUACAAGGACGAGACCGGGCCCCGUCAUACCCAUAUAUGUAUAUAAACAUAUCAUACCAAAAUCCAAAGAAGCUCCGGAUCAAAUGGAGCACACUAACUCUCGCUGAUCAAGGAUCCUAAGAAGGGGGACCGUCAACUUGUCUACCUGCACCUGCGGGCAUAAAACGUAGGCCCCAAAAAAUAGGACGUCAGUACAAAUAAUGUACUGAGUAUGUAAGGCAUGAAAAUCAGUACAUAAAAGACAUAGAUGAAACAUGAAUUAAAGAAUUCUGCAUGUAAAUCUAAAUACCUUUGAAAAUCCUGAAACAUUUAUAAUGUCAUGCACGUGCAUAUAAAUAUCGUGUCAUGCAUAAGUAUAGGUGUACAUAACAUCAUCAAGCCUUUGAGGGCAUCCCAUCAUAUUAUCUCGUCUACGGUAGGCAAAAUCAUCAACAUAUACUAGCUGAUCAGGUGGUGGUACGUAUAUAACGCCGUAACCUUUUUCCAUAUCCCAUAUACACAGAAUAUACGAGUAUAUAACGACAUCUGGUCAUGGGUCAAUGUACAUGUAUAAAUGAAUGGAAUGCAUAAGAAAUACAUUAAUAAGAUUUUCUUGAAAUGUUAUAAGAUUAUUAUACCUUUCGGAUAACUUUAUCAACUACGGAUUUUUCUGAGACCCAUGAACAAAAAAUAUAAUAAUAAUUCACAUGGAAAAUCAAGAACGUAGGCAUCCUUAGUAAUUUUAUGAAUAGAGUCGUUUAUGAAAGUUGUGCAUUUUCUCGUUUCGUUUGUAUCGUAUAGAUCAUGCCAAAAAGAAAGAAGGGGUAGCCUUAACAUACCUGACCCGGUUCUCUAGACAAUUCUUCUAAUACACGAAAAUUGCAACAAAACUCAUGACAGCAAGAUCGGAGUAGGGAAAAAUUCAUAUGAUAUUCUUGAGAAAGAUUAUACCGGGCUUCUUUAGAAUUGCAAAAAAAGUCACGUUGCUACGAUGCUUAAGAAAUUUUUGCUUGAAAUCUUGAAUUCUUGCUGAAGCUAAAUGUCACGUUAUUAAGGAUGCUAAUAUGCAAAUUCUUGUUUUGAAUUUGCUGAAGUGAAUUAGAGAUGUUAAAGAGAUAUCCACGUAUCUUUAACUGAAUU
rnacentral:lncRNA from 1 species